rnacentral:rRNA from 1 species
GUGUCAGCAGCCGCGGUAAUACGGAGGGUGCAAGCGUUAUCCGGAUUCACUGGGUUUAAAGGGUGCGUAGGCGGCUUGAUAAGUCAGUGGUGAAAGCUCGCAGCUUAACUGUGAAACUGCCAUUGAAACUGUCUGGCUUGAGUACAAUUGAAGUGGGCGGAAUACAUCAUGUAGCGGUGAAAUGCUUAGAUAUGAUGUAGAACACCGAUUGCGAAGGCAGCUCACUAAAUUGCAACUGACGAUGAGGCACGAAAGCGUGGGUAGCGAACAGGAUUAGAUACCCCUGUAGUCC